rnacentral:rRNA from 1 species
GACGAACGCUGGCGGCGUGCUUAACACAUGCAAGUCGAACGGAAAGGCCCUGCUUUUGUGGGGUGCUCGAGUGGCGAACGGGUGAGUAACACGUGAGUAACCUGCCCUUGACUUUGGGAUAACUUCAGGAAACUGGGGCUAAUACCGGAUAGGAGCUCGUGCUGCAUGGUGGGGGUGGGAAAGUUUCGGCGGUUGGGGAUGGACUCGCGGCUUAUCAGCUUGUUGGUGGGGUAGUGGCUUACCAAGGCUUUGACGGGUAGCCGGCCUGAGAGGGUGACCGGCCACAUUGGGACUGAGAUACGGCCCAGACUCCUACGGGAGACAGCAGUGGGGAAUAUUGCACAAUGGGCGGAAGCCUGAUGCAGAAACGCCGCGUGCGGGAUGACGGCCUUCGGGUUGUAAACCGCUUUCGCCUGUGACGAAGCGUGAGUGACGGUAAUGGGUAAAGAAGCACCGGCUAACUACGUG